rnacentral:rRNA from 1 species
UAGGGAAUCUUCGGCAAUGGGGGCAACCCUGACCGAGCAACGCCGCGUGAGUGAAGAAGGUUUUCGGAUCGUAAAGCUCUGUUGUAAGUCAAGAACGGGUGUGAGAGUGGAAAGUUCACACUGUGACGGUAGCUUACCAGAAAGGGACGGCUAACUACGUGCCAGCAGCCGCGGUAAUACGUAGGUCCCGAGCGUUGUCCGGAUUUAUUGGGCGUAAAGCGAGCGCAGGCGGUUUGAUAAGUCUUGAA